AGCAGGCAGCUUCUAGAUACUGUAAAAGGCAAGGUUAAUAGAUCUGCUGUGUCUCCAGAAGGAAUGGAGCCUUGUUAACCUACUUGAGACUUGUAACUUCUAAAACUAUAAGAUAUCAAACUCUAUAUGUAAUGGAAUAAAGUCAUUAAAGAAGACUUUGGGGCUUUUAAUUAUUAAGCAAAGGACAGAUUUCGAUAGAGGGCCUCUGAGUGCCCCCACAUCAUGCUGUGCAAGCUUGGAAGCUGACCCUGAGAUCCAGAAAGGAGGGCAGCCGCUAAGCUGACGCUGUGAUGGACUGUCUCAUGAGAGCCAAAACAAAGACCCAGG